GACGAGGGGUCCUAGCGUUGUUCGGAAUCACUGGGCGUAAAGCGUAUGUAGGCGGCUUUUCAAGUCAGGUGUGAAAUCCCAUGGCUUAACCAUGGAACUGCAUUUGAAACUGUAAAGCUUGAGUAUUGGAGAGGAUGGUAGAAUUCCUGGUGUAGUGGUGAAAUACGUAGAUAUCAGGAGGAAUACCGGUGGCGAAGGCGGCCAUCUGGCCAAAUACUGACGCUGAGGAGCGAAAGCGUGGGGAGCAAACAGG
rnacentral:rRNA from 1 species